rnacentral:rRNA from 1 species
AAUGGCGACCGGCGCACGGGUGAGUAACACGUAUCCAACCUGCCGAUAACUCGGGGAUAGCCUUUCGAAAGAAAGAUUAAUAUCCGAUAGCAUAUCAAUCCCGCAUGAGAUUAAUAUUAAAGAAUUUCGGUUAUCGAUGGGGAUGCGUUCCAUUAGUUUGUUGGCGGGGUAACGGCCCACCAAGACUACGAUGGAUAGGGGUUCUGAGAGGAAGGUCCCCCACAUUGGAACUGAGACACGGUCCAA